GUUGGUUACGGGGAUAUCUACCCGACGACGCCACUGGGCAAGGUCAUAGGAAGCGUGUGUUGUAUUUGCGGAGUCCUGGUGAUCGCUUUGCCCAUUCCCAUCAUUGUUAAUAAU
rfam:Agrilus planipennis Contig3114, whole genome shotgun sequence.